CAGGAUUCCUGCAGGUAGUUGGAAAGAGACCUCAGAACCUCAGAGUCGCUCCCUUGCUAACUAUUCUUCACCCAUCCGGCAGAGGAGUAAGUGAGGGGUGCUAAGAGCAGAAUGAGCUACUUUAUGGAUUCCACCAUGGGCAGCCCUGUCCCUUACUCAGCAGCUCGUCCUGCAGUGGCGAGGCAGGGACCUAUCAAUACUUUUGAAGAUCCUCGAAUGACUUGUGGUUUCCAGUCCAAUUAUCACCAGCAAAGACCUUGCUACUCAUUCUGGGAUGAGAUGGCUACUCAGGAAGUUCCU